rnacentral:lncRNA from 1 species
UCCAUUUCGGAACGAACCUGAAUUGUCCGAUUUCAUGGACCAAUCGAUAUCGGAUUGAGUCCAAAACUUGGGGAACAUCAUAAUAUUGUGGGAGGAGUCAUUUGGUGGGUUUUAAGUCAAAAUAUAAUCCCUAGACCUAUACAAUUCACCAACCACUCCAUUUCAGAAUGAACUUCAUACAAACCCGAAUUGUCCGAUUAUGUGGACCAAUCGAUAUCGGAUUGAGUCCAAAACUUGGGGAACAUCAUAAUAUUGUGGGCG